rnacentral:misc_RNA from 1 species
UCUCCGUUGGUGAACCAGCGGAGGGAUCAUUACCAAGUUUUUCUACUCCCAAACCCCUGUGAACUUAUACCUUUACUGUUGCUUCGGCGGGUUAACGCCCCGGAAGGCCCAAAAAGCCGCCGGAACCAGGCGCCCGCCGGGGGACCCAAACUCUUGUAUUUCUUACUUUGCAUGUCUGAGUGGAAUCAUAAACAAAUGAAUCAAAACUUUCAACAACGGAUCUCUUGGUUCU